CAUACAUAGUGAUGUGAAUUGCAGCUGUGGCUUGUGUUGGACGCUGAUCCAGCAUGUUUUUUUUUUUUUCUUCCCUGUUUCAUGUUCAGGCGCUCAGCGAUGGAAUCCAUGAUCAUGGUAACCUCUACUCCUGUCAUCUUUUCUGUUCAUCUCUUCCACACUCCUCCCACACCUCCCCCUCCUCUCCAGUAAGUGCCCUUUACUCUUCCAUCCUCCCCUCUACUCUCCUUUGUGCUGCUUCUGCUCCCUCUCACUGUGUCCAUUUCUCUCAUUCUGUUUUUUCCCUCUCCCUGCCCCUUUAGCCUUGCCACCGGGCAGAGGAGGAACUGUAAUGUUUAUGAAACCCUUUAAUGUGCUAUGUAAUUACCCUGGCAACACCUCCCAUCAUUACUCAUGCCAAUAAAGCACCUUCGAAUUGACAUGUCAGAGUGGGAGAGCGAGAGACAGAGAGAGAAAGAGAGAGAGAGAGGGGCAUAGCACACACACACUUUCCAUCAUUCACCCCCUCACUUCCAUUAAUCUCUCUUCCUUUCUUUUCUUCCCUCAGUCUCCAUUUGUUCACCUCCAUUUUGUCAUUUCUUUCAUUCUUUCCAUCCACUGCUCCUUCCUCUCCCUCUGCAUCCCCUUCUCUCCAGCUCACUGUGACUUCUGCCAGAUGCCCAGGUGGUGGUCAAUUACUGCACAACUCCUUUUGGAAUAACAAAAGCAUUCUUAAACUUGCUCCACUGAGCCUAUUUUAGGAAGAGUUGUAUGUUGGAUACUGGUUGAAUGGGCUCAAAGGAAAGGAGGAGAGGAAGAGAGACCUAGAGAGGGAGAGAGGGGGGGAGAAAUAAUUAUGAAAAAUAACACUUGCUGAAAGAGUGAAAAUGAGGAUGCAUAAAACAGGCAGGCAGCUGCAGGAGUAUCCUGAAUGAUGCAUUCCUUAAACAAAUAGUUUUGAGUAAUGCAGAAGUGUUUGUUUACGCUAAAAACUUCCAUAUGCAAUUAACACAUACUCCGAGCCUCUGAGCAGUUCCUCCCUUUCCAGCGCACCCACCCAUGCUAGUCCUCCGGUCACUAUACCUCCCACUUAGACAGUUGAGGCCCAGGCUCUUCUUGUGUUAGCACUUAUGCUAAGUCCCAUAGCUUUUCUCUACCGUUUGAGCAAAUGCUCAAACCCCAUUUGGUGCUUAAACGUCGGGCUCUUACUGUAAUGCCCUUUGCCCACCUUUGUUCAUCUGCAGCUGUAGCCUCUCAUUCUUCCUCUGUCCUGGCAAAAUCCUCAUUUGUAAGACAAAUAUUAUAACAAAUUAAGCAGCAAAACAAUGGGUGGGUGUCUGCCUGACGUCAGCCUGCAUUUCAUUAGCAAUCGCUAGGCUAACGUGUUCCAUAUGGAGGAGCCUGCAGGGUAGCCCCCUGCUGCCCAGCCCCAGCCUAGCCCAGCCCAGCAUGGCCCAGCUCAACUUGGUUGCCAAGGUCUGCCCCCACCUUCAGUCUCAGUCAGCCCCCAGUUUGGACCCCAUCCGGGCCCCCGCCAUUAUGUCAUCUUUAAUUUGGACUUGUCACACAUCACCUGACACCUACCCCCGUCAUGCUGUAACCUUUUGUCCCGUUGGAGCAAAAAAGCACUCCGGAGGCUUUCUCCCUCUCCUUUUCUCUCCCACUUUGCCUGUUGUUUUAUUCUCAUUCUUUCUCCUUCUCUCACGCCCUUUCCCACUCACUCACACUCUCUGUUGGCUUCUAUCACUUUCUCCCUUCCUCUCUUCAACCUCACUCCAUGUAGACCCACCUGCCUUUCCCCUCUGCCCUUUAUCAUAUAGACUUAAGUUAGAUGUGUGUGUCUGUGUGUGCCUGUAUGUGUGUGUGUUAUGAGCAGAGGAAACAACCAAGAAAAAUUCAGACAGGAAUCUGAGGACAUCUCUGCCCAGUCACCCUUAGCCAUUUUCCUAGACCCCCGACAGAUGAGCUGAGUGACAGUGAUAUAUGGGAAGUGACAGUCAGAGGGAAAGUAAAGUGUUCUGGAAAGAGCUAAAUUAUAGCACAUGACAGGAUUCUGGAGUCAGACUGGUGUGUUGGACAGAGCUGUGGACUUCUGGAGAGCGGCAGGGCCGUGGGGCUGUCUCCUGUGAUGGAAAUAUGGAAUGUGAUGGACCUCUGGAAUUUGAUAGAAGAAGAAGGACAGAGAUGGAAGAUGAGAGGAAACAACGCAGAUAAGAAAGGAUUCAUGAUAACAAACACGAGUUAAUGUGUUCAAUGUGUACUGGAAAAAAAGACGUGUAUGCAUGUGCGCUACAGGCUCGGCAGAGUUAUUGGAACAUUGCAGUCGUGCUUCCCGUGGCGUGGAUGCGGCCGGCGGGCACGUUCUUGGGGUUGCAGUAAAACAAGCAUCUAAUGACACCCCCUGUAACCACAGCAAAGGGGGGGCACGCGUCACCAGCGCUAACCCAGGAAAUGCUUUGGUUGGCCACAGGGUAAUUGGGACUGUCCCAUGUAAUUUGGGCGGAGAGGCAGGCAAGUUUGGCCGGCACUCCUGCACUUGUCUCUCCCUGGCUGUUGGUCAACCACACAGCACCACAGAAACGACAAAGGGAUGGAGGGAGGAGGAUUGAUGGAGGAGAUAGGGUACCGGAGAGAGAUAAGGCUGGAGUUGAGGAAAUUGGGAGAACGAGUGAAGACAGAAUACUGAGAGGCUGCAUGGAAAGAAAUCAGUGAAUAUAAAGAAGAGGGAAACUGUAGAGAUUGACGGAGUGGAUUUGUGUGUGUGUCUGUGUGUGUAUGUGUUUAAAGGAGUGUCACAGUAAGAGCAGAGAAAGUGAAUCGUGGCGUGUGUAUGGUGGGCAUUAUUUUUCCCCACACAGGUUCUCCUACGCUGAGGCAGAUGGAAAAUAGGAAAGGGGAGCAGGGGGAAAUUCAGCUUAGUCAGGUCUUCUGCUCCAGAAGUGUACUCAUCGCAGUGUGUGUGCGUGUGUGUUUUCUCUGUCUGUCAGGUCCUCUUCACAAGCAGCGCUCACUUUAAGUGGGACAGACAGCUCAAAGACUAAAGAGUUCUGUGUGUGCUGGCCCAAAACCACAGGCUAUGGGGUCACCGGCAGGUCCUCAUCUCCUCAGACCAGACCAGACGAUGAGGAGGGGAGCGGCUCGGUGCAGAGCGCAGCGGUGUGCUGUGUAGCAGUCUCCAAUCUGGGACAUGGCCUUGGGCAGCGACUAAAUGAAAAAUGAAACAGCGCAGCAGCGGGGCCUUAAAUGUUUGUAAAUCGGAGACUCACUAAACCGCGCUAAACACAAAAACACACACAGAGCAGACUCCAAACAGAUCUCCCGCAGAACAGCACCCCCUGACCUGCUUCCCUGGCCCGGUUCUGGCCGAAGUCCAAACCUACUCAGGUACACACCGAAGGCACUUUCUCUACCAGUGGCCUGCCUUGGGUUUAUUUUCCUUUUAAAGGCUGCUUUGUUUUCAUGAUUAAUCAGAGUGAAGGGAUCUCAAGCAGGAUUCAUGACCGCAAUUGAAUGCAUUUUUAACUUCAAUAAACAAAAUAUUUAGCAA